CUGGUUGAUCCUGCCAGUAGUCAUAUGCUUGUCUCAAAGAUUAAGCCAUGCAUGUCUAAGUUCAAGCGAAAAUAAAGUGAAACCGCGAAUGGCUCAUUACAUCAGUUAUGGUUCCUUAGAUCGCACUUACUACUUGGAUAACUGUGGUAAUUCUAGAGCUAAUACAUGCACUGAGCUCCAACCCUCGUGGAAGGAGCGCUUUUAUUAGAUCAAAGCCAAUCGGGCCUUCGGGUCCGUACCGUUGGUGACUCUGAAUAACUUUGCUGAUCGCAUGGUCUCGUACCGGCGACGUAUCUUUCAAGUGUCUGCCUUAUCAACUGUCGAUGGUAGGUUAUGCGCCUACCAUGGUUGUAACGGGUAACGGGGAAUCAGGGUUCGAUUCCGGAGAGGGAGCCUGAGAAACGGCUACCACAUCCAAGGAAGGCAGCAGGCGCGCAAAUUACCCACUCCCGGCACGGGGAGGUAGUGACGAAAAAUAACGAUACGGAACUCACAUGAGGCUCCGUAAUCGGAAUGAGUACACUUUAAAUCCUUUAACGAGGAUCUAUUGGAGGGCAAGUCUGGUGCCAGCAGCCGCGGUAAUUCCAGCUCCAAUAGCGUAUAUUAAAGUUGUUGCGGUUAAAAAGCUCGUAGUUGGAUCUCGGUUUCGGGCGGGUGGUGCGCCUUGCGGUGUUUACUGUCUGCCCGGACGAUUUUGUUGGUUCGUUCGUGGUUCUCUUAACCGAGUGCCACGGGUGGCCAGCACGUUUACUUUGAAAAAAUUGGAGUGCUCAAAGCAGGCGCUACAGCCUGAACAUUAGUGCAUGGAAUAAUGGAAUAGGACCUCGGUUCUAUUUCGUUGGCUUUCGGAGUCGAGGUAAUGAUUAAUAGGAACAGACGGGGGCAUUCGUACUGCGACGUUAGAGGUGAAAUUCUUGGAUCGUCGCAAGACGAACUACUGCGAAAGCAUUUGCCAAGAAUGUUUUCAUUAAUCAAGAACGAAAGUUAGAGGUUCGAAGGCGAUCAGAUACCGCCCUAGUUCUAACCAUAAACGAUGCCGACCGGCGAUCCGCCGUCGUUAAUUGAAUGACUCGGCGGGCAGCCUCCGGGAAACCAGAGUGUUUGGGUUCCGGGGGAAGUAUGGUUGCAAAGCUGAAACUUAAAGGAAUUGACGGAAGGGCACCACCAGGAGUGGAGCCUGCGGCUUAAUUUGACUCAACACGGGAAAUCUCACCAGGCCCGGACACCGGAAGGAUUGACAGAUUGAGAGCUCUUUCUUGAUUCGGUGGGUGGUGGUGCAUGGCCGUUCUUAGUUGGUGGAGCGAUUUGUCUGGUUAAUUCCGAUAACGAACGAGACUCUGGCCUACUAACUAGAUGUAGGAUCCCUUUGUGGGUCCGUCACUGCUUCUUAGAGGGACGGGCGGCUUUUAGCCGCACGAGAAUGAGCAAUAACAGGUCUGUGAUGCCCUUAGAUGUUCUGGGCUGCACGCGCGCUACACUGAAGGAAUCAGCGUGUGUUCCCUACCCGAAAGGGUUGGGAAACCCGUUGAACCUCCUUCGUGAUGGGGAUUGGGGAUUGCAAUUAUUCCCCAUGAACGAGGAAUUCCCAGUAGGCGCGAGUCAUAAGCUUGCGUCGAUUACGUCCCUGCCCUUUGUACACACCGCCCGUCGCUACUACCGAUCGAGUGAUUUAGUGAGGACUUCGGACUGGUCUUCGUGGUGGCUCUCGAGUCAUGACGGAGUUCCGGAAAGAUGCCCAAACUUGAUCACUUAGAGGAAGUAAAAGUCGUAACAAGGUUUCCGUAGGUGACCUGCA
rnacentral:rRNA from 2 species